AUUGAACGCUGGCGGCAUGCCUUACACAUGCAAGUCGAACGGUAACAGGUCUUCGGAUGCUGACGAGUGGCGAACGGGUGAGUAAUGCAUCGGAACGUGCCCAGUAGUGGGGGAUAGCCCGGCGAAAGCCGGAUUAAUACCGCAUACGACCUGAGGGUGAAAGGGGGGGAUCGCAAGACCUCUCGCUAUUGGAGCGGCCGAUGUCAGAUUAGCUAGUUGGUGGGGUAAAGGCCUACCAAGGCAACGAUCUGUAGUUGGUCUGAGAGGACGACCAGCCACACUGGGACUGAGACACGGCCCAGACUCCUACGGGAGGCAGCAGUGGGGAAUUUUGGACAAUGGGCGCAAGCCUGAUCCAGCAAUGCCGCGUGCAGGAAGAAGGCCUUCGGGUUGUAAACUGCUUUUGUCAGGGAAGAAAUCUUCUGGGUUAAUACCUCGGGAGGAUGACGGUACCUGAAGAAUAAGCACCGGCUAACUACGUGCCAGCAGCCGCCGUAA
rnacentral:rRNA from 1 species